AGACACAUAAUUAGGCGACCGUGUUAAAACCCGCCUCAUUUAUUCAAUGGACAGAUCUGACCCAUUUUAACUGGGCGAGUCAAGGCUUUUAAUGAGGCUCCAACCAUUAUUCUAAUUGUUGUCAAUAAGAACAAAAAAAAAACCGGAUGAACGUACCUCUCUCUCAGUUCUCCAUUGAAGCGCACUUGACGCUCUCCAUUGAAGCGUCUUCUAAUACUUGUAUCCCCCGUUGAAGCAGCUUCUGAGCAAUGGGUGCCUCAUUUGGCAAGGACUCCAAGAAUGUUGACAGCCACUCACAAUCUAGGCUAAGGGAAUCCAUCAACAUUUGGAGGAACAAGUACGGUUCUCUAGGUGGCCUCUCUAGAGUGUAAGUCAUUGCUUGCGAUCUCUGGUGACAAAGGCUUGAGUUUCUUUGGUUGGAGUGAUUCCUAAAAUGUGUCAUGUAAAAUAAUUUAGUUAAUUUAAUAAGGGUUUGAAGAUGUUGAUAUGUAAAAUAAUUUCAGCUUUCAAUUAGUUAAUAUAUAUUAAGGGUCUAAAGACAUAAUUAGUCCAUAACAUUUAGCUUUCAGCAAUCACAUAGCAGUAUGCAAAUAAUGGAUUUUUAUUGUAAAAAUUAAAAGUAUGUAAGACAUGAAAUCUUACCUCGGUCUGGAAUUUUAUCAA